GACGAACGCUGGCGGCGUGCUUAACACAUGCAAGUCGAACGGUGAAGCGCCUUCCUUUUUGGUGGGUGUGGAUGAGUGGCGAACGGGUGAGUAACACGUGAGUAACCUGCCCCCUUCUUCUGGAUAACCGCAUGAAAGUGUGGCUAAUACGGGAUAUUCUGGGUCUGUCGCAUGAUGGGUCUGGGAAAGAUAUUGUUUCGGUGGGGGAUGGGCUCGCGGCCUAUCAGCUUGUUGGUGGGGUGAUGGCCUACCAAGGCGGUGACGGGUAGCCGGCCUGGGAGGGUGGACGGUCACACUGGGACUGAGACCCGGCCCAGACUCCUACGGGAGGCAGCAGUGGGGAAUAUUGCACAAUGGGCGCAAGCCUGAUGCAGCGCCGCCGCGUGAGGGAUGGAGGCCUUCGGGUUGUGAACCUCUUUCGCCAGUGAAGCAGGCCUGCCUCGUUUGUGGGUGGGUUGACGGUAGCUGGAUAAGAAGCGCCGGCUAACUACGUG
rnacentral:rRNA from 1 species